rnacentral:rRNA from 1 species
AUUGAACGCUGGCGGAAUGCUUUACACAUGCAAGUCGAACGGCAGCAUAGGUGCUUGCACCUGAUGGCGAGUGGCGAACGGGUGAGUAAUACAUCGGAACGUGCCCAGUCGUGGGGGAUAACGUAGCGAAAGUUACGCUAAUACCGCAUACGAUCUACGGAUGAAAGCGGGGGACCGUAAGGCCUCGCGCGAUUGGAGCGGCCGAUGUUAGAUUAGGUAGUUGGUGGGGUAAAGGCUCACCAAGCCGACGAUCUAUAGCUGGUCUGAGAGGAUGAUCAGCCACACUGGGACUGAGACACGGCCCAGACUCCUACGGGAGGCAGCAGUGGGGAAUUUUGGACAAUGGGCGCAAGCCUGAUCCAGCCAUUCCGCGUGCAGGACGAAGGCCUUCGGGUUGUAAACUGCUUUUGUACAGAACGAAAAGCCUUGGGUUAAUACCCUAGGGUCAUGACGGUACUGUAAGAAUAAGCACCGGCUAACUACGUG